rnacentral:rRNA from 1 species
GAUGAACGCUGGCGGCGUGCUUAACACAUGCAAGUCGAACGGGAAACCUUUUAUUGAAGCUUCGGCAGAUUUAGAUUGUUUCUAGUGGCGGACGGGUGAGUAACGCGUGGGUAACCUGCCUUAUACAGGGGGAUAACAGUCAGAAAUGACUGCUAAUACCGCAUAAGCGCACAGAGCUGCAUGGCUCGGUGUGAAAAACUCCGGUGGUAUAAGAUGGACCCGCGUUGGAUUAGCUGGUUGGUGAGGUAACGGCCCACCAAGGCGACGAUCCAUAGCCGGCCUGAGAGGGUGAACGGCCACAUUGGGACUGAGACACGGCCCAGACUCCUACGGGAGGCAGCAGUGGGGAAUAUUGCACAAUGGGGGAAACCCUGAUGCAGCGACGCCGCGUGAAGGAAGAAGUAUCUCGGUAUGUAAACUUCUAUCAGCAGGGAAGAAAAUGACGGUACCUGACUAAGAAGCCC